rnacentral:lncRNA from 1 species
GAUCUUAUAUAACAUAUUCGCCUCCAUACAUAAUAUCAUAUAUACACAGAAACACAAAGAUGGCACCGUUAUUCAAUCGCGAUCUCAAACCUACAUUCAAGCGUUCUUCAUUCGCGAUCUGUCGAGACCUAAAUUUCCCGUUGUUGCUAAAUGUUUGAUCAGAGAAAUUAGGUUUGAUCAGAGAAAUUUGAAACCGUCUGGAGCAGAAGAAACCAAAAUGGCUCUUUCCAAAGCCAAGGCAAGGCUGAAUUAGUGGUUGUGUCACUUGCUUAUUGUUAUUGCUUUUGAUAAGAAGUCGAAACAGAGAUGGAAGAAUAUGAACAAGAGCAAGAGCAAGACAUACCUAAUGAUAAUGGAUUGAAAUCAGCGGGGGACAAUAGUUUUGGGCUGGAUUUCUCUUUACCAGUAGUUAAAUGAUACCUAGCAAUCACACUCUCCGUGUAGACUUCCAUGGUCUUUUAUGAGAAUUCUGGGUUGCAAAAAGUGUAUGCCAUAGUGUGGUAUUGUCAGGAAAAGCAAGUGUUGGAGCUGCUGCACUACUAAAAAGAGCGGCCCUCUUGCUGAAGUGGUGCUUGAAGCACUGGAGUCAGGGGACAGUUUCUCUGGAUUUUUUUUUCUUACUUAUGCUUUAAACAUUUAAAAUAACCAGAAGUUGCAUGUUCAUUGCUUUUAAGAUAUUCAAUAUUUUUUCAAAAAUUAUGUACUCGAUAUUUAAACUGUCUCUUUAUAAUUCUUUUUCAUAAAGCAUUGUGAUACUUGAUUCCAUGUUCAGCACUUGCUUCGUAAGCUUGAAAGCGAGUCAUGCAUCGGAAAGACGUUAAUCUCUUUACAAGUCAUUUAUAGCAAUCUGUACAUACUGUAACCAUAUUCCUCUUUUUCUAUCUAUAAUGCUUCUAUACCUGUGUUGCAUCUAGACUAAGUACCUUUACAUUUGUAAGUGGAUUGUGAACUUUCAACUGAUGCUAAGGUUAUGAAAUUCGUGCCAUCACAAUCAGAUUGCCAUGCAAUGGAUCAGAAUUCGGCUCGUGGUUCAAUCGUUUCAACUAAUUAAAUUAUAUUAUCUGCUAUAUACUACUGCAUAAUCUUUUGGAUAAAAUAUAUGCUUGACUAAUUUACUCUAAUAGUUAAUACUGCAUACAUCUUUAAUUGUUGUGUUUCUUUAAAUAAGUUAUUCUAGGUUAUAUUGAAUAGAUUUCAACUAUACAUGUGAAAUGAGUUAUUGCCAAUAUAAAACUCAUAAAGUAGAGUUAAUUUAUGCUGCCAAAAUCGCGAUGCAGUUAAUAUAGAUUAUCUUUGGUUGUGAAAAUGAGAAAGAGAGAUAGAAAAGGAGAAAAGAAAAAGGAGGAGUGAUCCCAGACAACCUCAAUAUAGAUUAUCUUUGUUUGUUACGUUGUUAGCGUAACCCGUCCACCGGACGGGUAUUAAACUAGUUAUUCAGGGUCCAAUUAAGCGUGGAGAGAUUUGAAGAAAAGCUUCAGGAAGCAUUGAGAAUAAAUCCACAUAAUUAUACACUUGUCACAUAUUCUUCUAAAACAAAUUGGGUCCAAGAGCAAAUGAGGUUUGGCUCUCAUCUUUGGUAAGAUGUAACCAUUUGUUAAGUUUUGUUGAACUUUCUUAAGUAUGAUUGAAGCACAUACCACCAUUAGGUAAUUUUUAUAUUAAACCGCUCUCGUAACUACAUAAUUCACUUAUUUUUGUUGAUGUUUUAGAUUCCCCUUUAUCGAUGUGAAGAUUUUGAAUGAUUUUUAUGUUAGAUUUGAACCCACGGUUGUUCAAGUUGUUUGAAUUAGGUAUUGUUCUUUUUUUAGCAAAGUUGAAGUUGUUUGAAUUAGCUAAGCCUGAUUUAUUUAUCCAUAAUCUCGUUUACGAUCUCUUAUAAUGCUAUUUUUUAUUUCAAUUCUUUGGUUUAUAAUCAAUUGCUCUUUGUGAAUUGAUAGAUUAGUUGUCUUGUCAAAUUAGUAUUAAAAAUACAUUACAUGAAACCCGUCAUGCAACAUGCGGCAAAAAACCGUAUAUACCCACGGCAACGCGCGGGUUUCCCACUAGUGUGUGUGUAUAUAUAGGGAUGGGUUAAAAUGUGAACCACCUUGAGUUGUAAGAACCGUGAUAACUAGGUCAUCCAAAAGGUUUUUCCGAUUUUUUUUUCCUCAAAAGUCAUAAAAAAUCACUUGUUUCACCAAAAAAAAAAUUAAAAAAAUGUUGCAUACCCACAUUUACAUGAGGCGUAAAACAAAUAUUUAUCUUCGUACAAAAUUUACACCAACGCGUAAAAAAAACUUCCAUCAGUCAAAACUACCGACUCGACAAUUUUUUUUAUUUUUUUUACAGAUGUGUUUAUAAUAUUUCAUCUACGUUUGUGCAAAAAAAAUUUUGGCCCAACUCAAUUGGAAAGAAAAAGUUCUCACGGUUCUCUCACACACACACAUAUAUAUAUAUAUAUAGGGAAAGGAUAAUAAGAAACCCUUAUUAGUUUAAAAAAAAACUAAACCUUCAUCAUCCAUCUAGAAAUCCUAUAGUUGAGAUUGUAUGUAACAAAAAGUAACUUUUUAGAAACAUGCUACAACUCACAAAAGUAGGUGUAAUAGCUUUUUUUUUUUUAAUUUUAUGUCUAACGCACUGACAUGUAACACUUUUUUUGUUGCACUAUUUUUUUCUAUAAAACAUGUAACAUAUAAUAUAAUAUAUUUCAUAUUGUUAAAAAGUAGAUUUAAAAUUUUGUGAUAAAAUUCAAGUAUUUGAUAACUAAUGCCCAUACGAGAAAUGAUAGUGUUGAUGGUUAAAUCAACUUUGGUCAUUGUAUUCGAAAAAGCAUGAAAGUGAACAGCCCUAGAUGUAUACCCAGUGGUUUCAGAAACUAGAACUUGAGAUAAACACAGCAAAUAAGUUGUUACAAGGGCUCCAAAAUACCAUUACAAAGUCUCCAAACAUGCUUCAACUAGAAAACAACACAUACUGGAAACAAAGUGAAGCACUUCUUAAUUCAAACUCAAAAUUCAGAAGCCAACAUUCAUGAAGAAAAUGCUAUAUAUCAAGUUCAUCUAGAGCGUUCAACCGAAUGUUGCUAUCAGGAAGCCUUUGUAAAUGCUCAUGAACUUGGCUACAAAUGCUGCAAAUAUCAACCACCUUGUUUCAGUGACUUAACAGUACCCAAAAAAAUCAUAAAAUCAUAUGAAGAAAAAAUCCUCUUUUUCUUCAAAAAAAAAAAAUUGCAACACUUCCUUUUCCAAGCAUGUUAAAUAUUGAAGUUACAUAUUUAGCCCUUGUAUUCAUAACAAAGACCGAGGGUUGACUAACGACUGACUUCAAUAAAGGCAUCUUAGGUAUUUGUUAAAGAAGUAAAGCGACUAUUGUGUACUAUCUAAACAAACCAAUUGUUGCAAUUGCAAUUUUCAUAUACAAGGAGUAUUAUGUGUUGUCUAAGAAAUUUCGAAAGGCAAACUGCAUGUCAUUGAGGGAAGAUGAAAGAUAAAACCUUGAUUGAUGCACAACUCAAAACAAAUGCAUACAUUUUAAUAGCAACGGAUGUAAAAUAAUAUGAAAAUUAAAUGAGUGCAAAAAGGUACCUUCAAUGUGAAAAAUAGCCUUCUGUCCAAGACGCAUCCUAUGUUCCUGAUAUAAUAACAAACAAAAUAUAUCGACAUUAGAUGAACUAUUUACCACUUUUGUCCCAUUACCAUAUAACUUCUACAUAUAGUUUUAAAAAAAGCGUCAUUUUGUCAAAUGGCAAACGUAGCCUUCCAAAAGAUGUAAUUUCUAUAUGUAAAUUUAGAAAAGUAUUUACGAUUAGCAUAAGUAUCCUUCAAUGAAUGUGCACUAAUUUUAACGUUAUUUUACUAAUUUCGUGGAAAUAACGUUAAAAGCUGAGGACGGUUAAUCAGGCAUCAUGUGGUGGCGUUGAUAGCUAAAAGACAAAAGAGUACAUGCACUAAUCGGUCUUUGUCCCGAUUGCUGAGUGUUAUGUGCCUUAUGUCCAAGGCUUGAUGCAAAACUACUAUCGAGCCGGGGGUCUCACUGGAAGCAGCCUCUCUAUUCCUACGGGGUAGAGGUAAGGCUGUCUACAUCUUACCCUCCUCAUACCCUACCUUAGCUUUGCUAUUGGUGGGAUUUACUGAGUAUGAUGAUGAUGAUGAUAAGUAUCCUUCAAUGAAGACAAGAUAAAAGAAGAAUUUGUGGACCUAAAAGGGUAUAUAGGUAAUUUAGCAUAGAACUUCUAAGUAAAGGAGUAUCAGCUGAGACUUACAUAAUAUGCAGCCCAAUGACAGACCUCAUGCUUCAAUUCAAAAUCCAGUUUCUUCAGCAAUUCAUAAAGCAGCCUCUGAAUCAAUAAAAAGACUUUCAAGCUUCAAUCACAACUUGUUCAAAAGAUUUAAAAAAAAAAGUAAUUUAGUAAUAAAAAAAUUAUAACCUUUAAUAUAAUUUCAGGAGGGAUACAAUUAACAAGUAACUCAUACAACUUUCCUCGAACCUGGAACAACCUGUAUAAUAAAGAAUCAUAUAACAUGUAGAGGUAUAUAACGACAGUGCAACAAAAUUAAGAAAUUUGAAAUAAGUUGUAAAAAAUAAAAAUUGAGAAAUAAACCGUUUUGGGCUUUGUUCUUUCAUAAUGUCAGAUGCUAUCUCAAAUAUAUAUUCUUCCCAGUCCAUGGGGGGAAUUACUUGAUUAUUCGUAAAAGGGUACCUGUGUGAGAAAAUCUCACGUUAACAUUGCUUUCAAAC